GACAGAACCUUGGGCCUGGUCACAACGAAGGUAACAGGAGCUUAGACUUGAGACUGAGAAAGGCAUACCCAGAGAGGAGAGGGAGGAGAAGGAUACCCCAAAAUGAAGGAAAAGGAAGGCAGAAAAGGCUGAGAAAGAGCUAGAGUCCUCUCAGGCAGGGAAGACUGGCCUUUGCUUAGCAGCGAGGGAGAAGAGCUGCUGGGGGAUGCUCCCAUCUUGGUCAUGCUGUUUCAUGGUGCAGGCGCAGGUGUCCCCAGCAGUGGAAGAGACGGAGGCACAAGCAGAGACACAUUUCAAACUGUUCCCCCCAAUUCAACCACCAUGAGCCUGAGCAUGAGGGAAGAUGCGACCAUCCUGCCCAGCCCCACGUCAGAGACUGUGCUCACUGUGGCUGCAUUUGGUGUUAUCAGCUUCAUUGUCAUCCUGGUGGUUGUGGUGAUCAUCCUAGUUGGUGUGGUCAGCCUGAGGUUCAAGUGUCGGAAGAGCAAGGAGUCUGAAGG
rnacentral:lncRNA from 1 species